rnacentral:rRNA from 1 species
UACAGAGGUCCCGAGCGUUUGUUCGGAUUCAUUGGGCGUAAAGGGUGCGUAGGCGGGGGGAAAAGUCUGAUGUGAAAUCCUGGGGCUCAACCCUGGAACUGCAUUGGAUACUUUCUUCCUAGAGUACUGGAGAGGAAACUGGAAUUUACGGUGUAGCGGUGAAAUGCGUAGAUAUCGUAAGGAAGACCAGUGGCGAAGGCGGGUCUCUGGACAGUUCCUGACGCUGAGGCACGAAGGUCAGGGGAGCAAACGGG